rnacentral:rRNA from 1 species
CCCUUAGAUGUUCUGGGCUGCACGCGCGCUACACUGAUACUUUCAGCGAGUCCACCACCUUGCCUGGGAAGGUGGGGUAACCUCUGGAAAGUGCAUCGUGAUGGGGAUCGAUUAUUGUAAUUAUUAAUCUUCAACGAGGAAUUCCUAGUAAGCAUGUGUCAUCAGCCCGUGCUGAUUACGUCCCUGCCCUUUGUACACACCGCCCGUCGCACCUACCGAUUGGAUGGUCCGGUGAAGCCUCGGGAUUGUGGUUCUUGCCGCUUUAUUGUGGCGUGACCGCGAGAACUUGUCUAAACCUUAUCAUCUAGAGGAAGGUGAAGUCGUAACA